AUGAUACCUCACAAUGCAGCUAAACACUUCACACUGUACGUGCUCAACAAGUACACGAGCUCCAUCGACAUACUUGACUCACUGAAUUACAGACACAGAGGAGGAAAAAAUACAUGGAAAACACACCAUAAGGAUCACCCAGAACUGGGUACCCAAUGCGGACACUUCAUGGUUCAAUUUGCAAAAUACUGGAAUGUCAUUGAUCUCAUAAAAGAUGAUGAGGAUUUCCAUCAUAGCAACGUAGAUGCCGAGUGGAAACCAGAGUUCCUUUUUACAGCCAUAUUUGGUGAGACGAAACAAGUAAAGUGCGAGCAACUACCUGAAAGAAUCAAAGAAUUCAAACCAGAAACUUCAAACUUCUUUUCCACCAACAAAGCAAAGAAUCAGCUGGUUCCCAUGUAUCUCAAAGAAAAUCAACGGAAAAAGCUCUCAACAACAAACAUGGAAACCAACAAGUAUUUUGUACGCAGAUAUUCAUUCCAAUGGAGAAGCAUGACCGCUACAUACUAUAUGUGUGGACAAAUAUAA
rnacentral:rRNA from 1 species